rnacentral:lncRNA from 1 species
AAAAACAAAAAAUAACGACAUGAUACAAAUAUAAAAAAAUUAUAAGAAAAAUGAGACGAUUGUUUGAGAAAUUCCACCUAAGAAAGGCAAAGAGUUACCUCUUUUAAGUGGAUUUUUUUUUUGUGCGAAGUUUGAGACGGAUUUUCACCGAAGCGUCGGGAUAAAUCCGAACUCUAAACUACAAUACCCAUUAAGCCAAAUAGUCGUUGUUAAAAAAAUAAAUUUACAUAAUGUUGCA